CGCCAGACCAGAUCUCCAGAGAUGGAGGUGGUCGGCCUCAGGGCCCAGCCAUGAGAAGGUGUAUGAGGAGGCAUCGCAUCAGGCGCCCACCCUGUGCUUGCAGGGCCUGACCAUGAGCGCCGCCUUCAGUUUUACACCUUAGGCACCCCACUUGGCUCCCCUUCGUCCCAGCCCUGCCAGACCCACCCUUGACUCUGUGUUUCCUUUCUGGAAACUCGAGAGGCCAUUUCUACUUAAAGAGUCCUCACCUGGCCUACCAGCGACCAGAUCUGCCCAAGUGCAGAAGAAACACUUGGUUAUCUCCUCUUUCAUCGUCCCCGCUCGAGCAUAAAACAACAGAAAGUUUCCUAUCGGAACAGCAUGCUUGUGCCAAAAACAAAUUAGAAACAACAACAACUUCUCAAAAUUUUGAGCAAAAUGAUGGUGACCGUGUUCUGGAAAUGGAGCAAAGUUUCCUAGUGCCUGUGACCAAACACCUUGUGUGUGCUCCCCAGGAGAGAAAACCGCUAGCAGCCUCAGGUAUUGUUGGGGGUGGGGAGGAUGGGGGUUCUGUGGGGACAGGAACUUCUUCCUCUGUAUUGGGGGUGGACACACACACGGAAACUUAGAGCGGUGUACUACCUCCAGGCCAACCAGGCAAGUCCCUGUUUUAUAACUAAGGUCUAGGUGAGGUGGCCUGCCCGGGGUCCCAUGGCCUGUUAGGGGUAGAGAUUUCUAGUCACUUGACUUCCAGCCUGCUUCUUUUCCAUGGAUCACACACACACUACUGUUACAAGACACAGGUAGGACAAAGGGCAUGAACAUGCAUGGCAAAAUGAACAUGCACGGCAAAUGGGAACAUGUCAUAUAUACAAUGGAAGGGAAGACAAAUGACAUGAAGUAAAUAUAGACAUGAAAUCAUAGGGAAGAAUUGGAGAUCACGAUUUCUGAUGACCACCAGCUAUUCCCACUUCCUCUUUGCUUCUCCCUCCCACCUUGUUUGAAGACAGGUGAGGAGUUGUUCCUCCUCAGACCCAGGAAUCAUUUCCCAGUGGAAUGACACGGUGAAGUGGAUCGCCAUUUUUAAACCUUCAAUAAUAAAGAUCUUGUG
rnacentral:lncRNA from 1 species